rfam:Fuerstia marisgermanicae strain NH11 chromosome, complete genome.
GUCCCCGUAGCUCAUCUGGAUAGAGCGUGGCUUUCCUAAAGCCAAGGUAGCAGGUUCGAGUCCUGCCGGGGAUA